rnacentral:rRNA from 1 species
UAGGGAAUAUUGGUCAAUGGACGCAAGUCUGAACCAGCCAUGCCGCGUGCAGGAUGACUGCCCUAUGGGUUGUAAACUGCUUUUAUCAGGGAAGAAACCCUUCUACGUGUAGAGGGCUGACGGUACCUGAGGAAUAAGGAUCGGCUAACUUCGUGCCAGCAGCCGCGGUAAUACGAAGGAUCCAAGCGUUGUCCGGAUUUACUGGGUUUAAAGGGUGCGUAGGCGGACUAAUAAGUCAGUGGUGAAAGCCGGUAGCUUAACUAUCGAACUGCCAUUGAAACUGCUAGUCUCGAGUACGGUUGAGGUGGCUGGAAUGUAUCAUGUAGCGGUGAAAUGCUUAGAUAUGAUACAGAACACCAAUUGCGAAGGCAAGUCACUAAACCGUAACUGACGCUGAGGCACGAAAGCGUGGGGAGCAAACAGG